CGAAAGCCUGACGGAGCAAGACCGCGUGGGGGAAGAAGGCUCUUGGGUUGUAAACCCCUUUUCUCUGGGAAGAAAGUUGUGAAAGCAACCUGACGGUACCAGAGGAAUCAGCAUCGGCUAACUCCGUGCCAGCAGCCGCGGUAAGACGGAGGAUGCAAGCGUUAUCCGGAAUGAUUGGGCGUAAAGCGUCCGCAGGUGGCAGUUCAAGUCUGCUGUCAAAGACCGGGGCUUAACUUCGGAAAGGCAGUGGAAACUGAACAGCUAGAGUAUGGUAGGGGCAGAGGGAAUUCCYGGUGUAGCGGUGAAAUGCGUAGAGAUCAGGAAGAACAUCGGUGGC
rnacentral:rRNA from 1 species